AUGGGGAACUGCGCCAUCACGCACCAGGCCACCUCGUGGGCGGACGACGGCGAGUGGGAGCUGCCGUCGCCCGGCGACGAGGACGAGGGGCAAGCGGAGCAGAGGAAGGAGCACGUCAGCGAGGUGACCAUCAGGAUCAGCAAGCGGCAGCUGCAGGAGCUGGUGGACAAGAGGGCCGACGACGGCGUCUGGAAGGGCCGGCGGUCGGCGUCGGAGCUUCUGACGGACAUCAUGAACGCCGGGGAGGUGCACCACCACGUCGACCACUGCAGGGCGGCGCACUGGAAGCCCGCUCUGCAGAGCAUCCCGGAGGCGGUGGAGUCGUGA
rnacentral:rRNA from 1 species